UACGUAGGGGGCGAGCGUUGUCCGGAUUUACUGGGCGUAAAGCGUCCGUAGGUGGUUGGUCAAGUCCGGUGUGAAAGCUCCCCGCUCAACGGGGAGAGGUCAUCGGAGACUGGUCGACUGGAGGGGAGCAGAGGCAGACGGAAUUCCCGGAGUAGUGGUGAUAUGCGUAGAGCCCGGGAGGAACACCGGUGGCGAAGGCGGGCUGCUGGGCUCGCCCUGACACUGAUGGACGAAAGGCGUGGGGAGCAAACAGG
rnacentral:rRNA from 1 species